rnacentral:rRNA from 1 species
GAUGAACGCUAGCUACAGGCUUAACACAUGCAAGUCGAGGGAAAACGACAUCGAAAGCUUGCUUUUGAUGGGCGUCGACCGGCGCACGGGUGAGUAACGCGUAUCCAACCUGCCCACCACUUGGGGAUAACCUUGCGAAAGUAAGACUAAUACCCAAUGACGUCUCUAGAAGAUAUCUGAAAGAGAUUAAAGAUUUAUCGGUGAUGGAUGGGGAUGCGUCUGAUUAGCUUGUUGGCGGGGUAACGGCCCACCAAGGCGACGAUCAGUAGGGGUUCUGAGAGGAAGGUCCCCCACAUUGGAACUGAGACACGGUCCAAACUCCUACGGGAGGCAGCAGUGAGGAAUAUUGGUCAAUGGGCGAGAGCCUGAACCAGCCAAGUAGCGUGCAGGAUGACGGCCCUAUGGGUUGUAAACUGCUUUUAUAAGGGAAUAAAGUGAGUCUCGUGAGACUUUUUGCAUGUACCUUAUGAAUAAGGACCGGCUAAUUCCGUGCCAGCCGCCGCAGUAA